rnacentral:siRNA from 1 species
AGGACAAAAGUAUGUGGUUGUGCA